rnacentral:ncRNA from 1 species
AAGUUGGAGGAGUUUAUUACUUUCUAGAACAAGGCCAAAGAUCAUCAGACAAAAGCUACCCCGGGGAUAACAGGCUAGUCGCUUCCAAGAGUCCAUAUCGACGAAGCGGUUCGGCACCUCGAUGUCGGCUCGGCUUAUCCUGGAGGGGGAGCACCUUCCAAGGGUUUGGCUGUUCGCCAAUUAAAAAGUCACGCGAGCUGGGUUCAAACCGUCAACAAACGAACCCGAGACAUCGAAGAAAACACACGGCGGCUUUGAGGAGUAAUCCUCAUCGAAUAAACCGACUCAUAUCGGUGAAGUCCUAUUUGAAAUUACAACCUGAUUUUAGUAGGAUAAUACCGAGGGAAGUUAAAGGUCUAAAUAUUAGUUAUCAAAACACAUGGAAGAAUCACCUAAGGUCGAAACUACGCAAGAGAAAAUAGCCAGAUUAGAGGGAGAGAGGGACCAGUUGGAACAGAGAAUAACAGCUAUAAUCAAGGAAUUGCAAGAGUUACGGCAAGAACGCGAUAUUGAAAUACAAGACAAGUUAGAUGAAAAAGAUGACUAAAAUAUUUAGUUAACCCCGUAGAGACUUGUCGCCAGCGCGCGACGGAGUGAUUCAGAAAUGGAUUGCUAAAACGUUGGUCCCCGUCACCUUGAAGGGUGCCGGGUGGUGGUAUAGUCCAUACCUUCAGUAAUGGAGGAAUCUAGUGGAUUUAGUAUUCAUAAUUCUUGAUUCUAAAUUCUUAAUUCUAGAAUAAUGCGUGAGACAGGUUGGUCUCCUAUCUUCUGUGGGCGUAGAAACUUGAGAGGGCUCGGGUCCAGUACGAGAGGACCGACUUGAACAAACCUCUGGUGUACCAGCUGUUCCGCCAGGAGCAUCGCUGGGUAGCUAUGUUUGGUUGUGAUAACCGCUGAAAGCAUCUAAGCGGGAAGCACGCCUCGAGAUAAGGUUUCGUAGAUCCCUGAUAGACUAUCAGGUUGAUAGGGCGCAGGUGUACAUGGAGUAAUCCAUUCAGCCGAGCGCUACUAAUAGAUCAUCACCGCUUUUUA